rnacentral:rRNA from 1 species
AGCGAGCGCUGGCGGCAGGCCUAACACAUGCAAGUCGAACGAAGCCUUCGGACUUAGUGGCGGACGGGUGAGUAACACGUGGGAACGUACCUUUUGGUUCGGAACAACUCAGGGAAACUUGAGCUAAUACCGGAUGAGCCCUUAGGGGGAAAGAUUUAUCGCCGAAAGAGCGGCCCGCGUUAGAUUAGCUAGUUGGUGAGGUAAAGGCUCACCAAGGCUACGAUCUAUAGCUGGUCUGAGAGGAUGAGCAGCCACACUGGGACUGAGACACGGCCCAGACUCCUACGGGAGGCAGCAGUGGGGAAUCUUGCGCAAUGGGCGAAAGCCUGACGCAGCCAUGCCGCGUGAAUGAUGAAGGUCUUAGGAUUGUAAAAUUCUUUUACCAGGGACGAUAAUGACGGUACCUGGAGAAAAAGCCCCGGCUAACUUCGUGCCAGCCGCCGCGGUAAGAC